rnacentral:tRNA from 1 species
GUUUCCGUAGUUAAAUAUAUAACGACGGCUUUUCAGGCCGUAGGUCUCAGAGAGAGGCUGAGCGGGAAUA